AUGGCGCGGCUCCUCCCCCUCGUCUUCCUGGCCGUCUCGCUGGCGUGGCCGGCGUCGAGCAAGCCUCUCCCGGUGCUCGUUCCGGUCACCAAGGACCCCGCCACCCUCCUCUACACCAUCCCCUUCCACCACGGCGCCGACCUCGUCGUCGACACCGCCGGCCCGCUCGUCUGGUCCACGUGCCAGCGCGGCCACCUGCCGGCCGAGUUCCCGUGCAACAGCCCCACCUGCCGGCUCGCCAACGCCUUCCACGUCCCGGGCUGCCGCGCGCGCGGCUGCGGCCGCGACAGGCGCAAGGACAGGACGUGCACGGCGUACCCGUACAACCCCGUCACCGGCGCGUGCGCGGCCGGGGACCUGGUGCACACGAGGUUCGUCGCCAACACCACCGACGGCGUCCACCCGGUGAGCCAGGUGAGCGUGCGGGCCCUGGCGGCGUGCGCGCCGAGCAGGCUCCUCAAGUCGCUGCCGCGUGGCGCCUCCGGCGUGGCCGGGCUCGCGGGCUCCGGCCUCGCGCUGCCGGCGCAAGUGGCUUCCGCGCAGAACGUCCCCAACAAGUUCCUCCUCUGCCUCCCCCGCGGCGGGUCCUCCGGCAGCACCGGCGUGGCCAUCUUCGGCGGCGGCCCGUUCGAGGUCUCCGCGCAGCCGGGGAGGAACUUCACGCAGGAGCUCGUCUACACGCCGCUCGUCGCCGCCAAGAAGGGCAUGCCGCCCGCACACUACGUCUCGCUCGAGUCCAUCGCCGUGGAGAACGCCCGCGUGCCCGGCGCCGGCGCCGCGGUGGUCUGCACGAAGGUGCCCUUCACCCUGCUCCGCCCGGACGUGUACCGCCCGUUCGUGGACGCGUUCGCCAGGGCCCUGGCGGCGCAGGGCGCGCAGGGCGGGCCCGUGGCGCGCCCGGUGAAGCCCGUGCCCCCCUUCGAGCUGUGCUACGACACGCAGUCGCUGGCCAACACGCGGAUCGGGUACCUGGUGCCGGGCGUGACGCUGACGCUGGGCGGCGGCACGAACUGGACGAUGAACGGGCUGAGCUCGAUGGUGGACCUGAGGCCGGGGACGGCGUGCCUGGCGUUCGCGCGGAUGGAGGGGGUGAAGGCCGGGGACCGCAGCGCGCCGGCGGUGCUCGUCGGAGGGUUCCAGAUGGAGAACACCGUGCUGGAGUUCGACAUGGCGAGGAAGCGGCUCGGGUUCGUCAGGCUGCCCUUCUUCACCCAGUGCGGCCACUUCAAUUUCACCAAGAUCGGUUACUAG
rnacentral:rRNA from 1 species